GCGGCGUGCUUAACACAUGCAAGUCGAACGGAAAGGCCCUGCUUUUGUGGGGUGCUCGAGUGGCGAACGGGUGAGUAACACGUGAGUAACCUGCCCUUGACUUUGGGAUAACUUCAGGAAACUGGGGCUAAUACCGGAUAGGAGCUCCUGCUGCAUGGUGGGGGUUGGAAAGUUUCGGCGGUUGGGGAUGGACUCGCGGCUUAUCAGCUUGUUGGUGGGGUAGUGGCUUACCAAGGCUUUGACGGGUAGCCGGCCUGAGAGGGUGACCGGCCACAUUGGGACUGAGAUACGGCCCAGACUCCUACGGGAGGCAGCAGUGGGGAAUAUUGCACAAUGGGCGGAAGCCUGAUGCAGCAACGCCGCGUGCGGGAUGACGGCCUUCGGGUUGUAAACCGCUUUCGCCUGUGACGAAGCGCGAGUGACGGUAAUGGGUAAAGAAGCACCGGCUAACUACGUGCCAGCAGCCGCGGUGAUACGUAGGGUGCGAGCGUUGUCCGGAUUUAUUGGGCGUAAAGGGCUCGUAGGUGGUUGAUCGCGUCGGAAGUGUAAUCUUGGGGCUUAACCCUGAGCGUGCUUUCGAUACGGGUUGACUUGAGGAAGGUAGGGGAGAAUGGAAUUCCUGGUGGAGCGGUGGAAUGCGCAGAUAUCAGGAGGAACACCAGUGGCGAAGGCGGUUCUCUGGGCCUUUCCUGACGCUGAGGAGCGAAAGCGUGGGGAGCGAACAGGCUUAGAUACCCUGGUAGUCCACGCUGUAAACGGUGGGUACUAGGUGUGGGGUCCAUUCCACGGGUUCCGUGCCGUAGCUAACGCUUUAAGUACCCCGCCUGGGGAGUACGGCCGCAAGGCUAAAACUCAAAGGAAUUGACGGGGCCCCGCACAAGCGGCGGAGCAUGCGGAUUAAUUCGAUGCAACGCGUAGAACCUUACCUGGGUUUGACAUGGAUCGGGAGUGCUCAGAGAUGGGUGUGCCUCUUUUGGGGUCGGUUCACAGGUGGUGCAUGGCUGUCGUCAGCUCGUGUCGUGAGAUGUUGGGUUAAGUCCCGCAACGAGCGCAACCCUUGUUCACUGUUGCCAGCACGUUAUGGUGGGGACUCAGUGGAGACCGCCGGGGUCAACUCGGAGGAAGGUGGGGAUGACGUCAAGUCAUCAUGCCCCUUAUGUCCAGGGCUUCACGCAUGCUACAAUGGCUGGUACAGAGAGUGGCGAGCCUGUGAGGGUGAGCGAAUCUCGGAAAGCCGGUCUCAGUUCGGAUUGGGGUCUGCAACUCGACCUCAUGAAGUCGGAGUCGCUAGUAAUCGCAGAUCAGCAACGCUGCGGUGAAUACGUUCCCGGGGCUUGUACACACCGCCCGUCAAGUCAUGAAAGUUGGUAACACCCGAAGCCGGUGGCCUAACCGUUGUGGGGGAGCCGUCGAAGGUGGGACUGGUGAUUAGGACUAAGUCAUAACA
rnacentral:rRNA from 1 species